UGCUGCUCGCUCCUUUCGGUCUUCGUGGUUUUGUGGAUCAGCCAUCUUCCAGAUCAUCCAGAGCAUCAGGCAGGGCAUGUGAUCUGACCUUUGACCUUGGAGCUGAGCCUGUCACAUGAGGAGGGGGCGGGGACAUGUCGCCAUCAUGACCCCACCCACCCACACACACACACACAGUAACACACACACUGUAACACACACACUGUAACACACACUUGUUCCUGUGGAGUUAAAAUCUGAGCUGGUUUUCUUCCUCUCUGUCUGUCUGUCUGUCUGUCUGUCUGUCUGUCUUGUUUGUGUACUUCCUGUUGAUGAAGCUGAUCAGAUAUUGGUUAUUGAUUGGUUGUCAGAUGAAGUCUUAACGCUCUCUCAGUCGUCAGCUGAUCUCUCUGCGCUCACGCCGUCCCUUUGUUUGACUGAAGCCGACGUGCUGCUGAUCACGUGACAUCACGUGCCUGAUGUCAGAUUUCACAUUAAAAGUCCUCCAGCCUGCCUGUUCUGGGUUGUCUUUUAUUGUGAAGUCAUUACAGGAAGGUUGUUUUCGUGUCACAUGACCUAAAGAACAGGUGGGACAGGUGUUAGAGUGACAGCGAGCUGCAGUGUUCACGUCUCACUCCGUCCAUUAGAAGUGUUUGUCUCUGACGGGCUCGUCUGGUCCGGUCGGACCUCCUCGUCCUCGUCCUCUUCCCUCCGAGCAUCUCUGCGCUCACGUUUACACUGUUCACUUCCUGCAACAAGUCUCUGGAGACUUCACCUGGAGGAACGCCGUGAGCCCGUCAGAGACAGAACUUCAAAUGGACGAUCACGAAGAAAUAAAAGUCAGGUGUUCCUGUUCACUUCCUGUAAAGACCUCACACUAAACGUCUACCGGGCUUUUAUUGUGAAGGGUGUCGUCUGAACUCGACCUGCAUGGUUUAUUCAAAUAAAAUGAGACGAAGAAGGAAAAGGAGGUGUGACACACACAGGAGGAACGUUCAAACAACGUUUUAAAAACACAAGAAACUAAAGUUGUUUGAGCUUCAUGAAAAGACGUAACCAGAUGAUUUCCAUUCAUUUUAAUUCAAAGUUUGUUUCUUUGUGUUGCUAAGCGAGUCGUCUGCAUGGACCGAAAGGAUGAAAAUAGAAACCGUUUCACACCUUCAAAAUAAACAAAGAGAUUUCUGGAAUAAAAUCAGCUUAGUUUAAGUGAAACUUCUCUUCCUGUCGGGAGGUCAAAAAACUCUGAAGUCGCCUCCAGACGGACGGAAAACUUUUAAAGUUUGUAAGUUUGGACGUUGGCUUCAGUCAAACUCUCUGGUGACGACGUGCUGAUGUGGUUUUUAAAAGCCGGUGUCGGUUCUUUUCUUUUUUUUUUUUUCUUUUUUUUUUGAAGCAGUCAGAGAGGUGACGAGCUCAGCGACGCCUCCUGCUGGACGACAUGCUCCGCUUUUAUACAAAAAUAAACCACAGAUAUUUUUCUCUAAA